GAGUUUGAUCAUGGCUCAGGAUGAACGCUAGCGGCAGGCUUGAUACAUGCAAGUCGAGGGGCAUCAGCUUAUAGCAAUAUAGGGCUGGCGACCGGCAAACGGGUGCGGAACACGUACACAACCUUCCUUUAAGAGGGGGAUAGCCCAUAGAAAUGUGGAUUAAUACCCCGUAAGAUAGUGGGAUGGCAUCAUACUACUAUUAUAGUUACGACGCUUGAAGAUGGGUGUGCGUCUGAUUAGGUAGUUGGCGGGGUAAAGGCCCACCAAGCCUUCGAUCAGUAGCUGAUGUGAGAGCAUGAUCAGCCACACGGGCACUGAGACACGGGCCCGACUCCUACGGGAGGCAGCAGUAAGGAAUAUUGGUCAAUGGACGCAAGUCUGAACCAGCCAUGCCGCGUGAAGGAUGAAGGUCCUCUGGAUUGUAAACUUCUUUUAUAGGGGCGAAAAAAGGGAAAUCUUUCUCACUUGACAGUACCCUAUGAAUAAGCACCGGCUAACU
rnacentral:rRNA from 1 species